GGACUACAAGGGUUUCUAAUCCCGUUUGCUCCCCUGGCUUUCGCGCCUCAGCGUCAGAAAAGGUCCAGUGCGCCGCUUUCGCCGCCGGCGUUCCUUCUGAUAUCAACGCAUUUCACCGCUCCACCAGAAGUUCCGCGCACCCCUACCUUCCUCCAGCCCGCCGGUAUCGAAGGCACUUCUACGGUUAAGCCGUAGGAUUUCACCCCUGACUUGUCCACCCGCCUACGCGCCCUUUAAGCCCAGUGAAUCCGAACAACGUUCGCACGGUUCGUAUUACCGCGGCGGCUGGCAC
rnacentral:rRNA from 2 species